ACGGGGUGGCCGGCGCGGUCGCGGAGGACGGCGCCGACACCGCCGUGACCGUGGCCCCGUUCCACGGCUUCGUG
rnacentral:tRNA from 1 species